ACUUGAUGCCAUUUUGGGCCCCAUGACUCGUGAAUCCAGCUCUUUCUGUUCUUAAUGUUUGGGUCUCUCGACGCAUCUAAUUCAGGUUCUGGGGAUUUGAAUGGAGACAUCUUUGAGGGGCUAUGAUUCUGCUCCUCAGCAACUUUGAGACUGUGGAAAUUCCUGUUACUUACCCCACUUUCACACAAUGAAGUUCUUGGUGUCAGCAGUAUUUCCACCAUAGAAUUAGCUGCAGAUGAAGAAAAUGGACACCGUGUGUUAUAACCAUGCUCUCAAGCCCACUUUAUAAUAUGUUCCCUGGUGGGUGAAGUUAUUAUCAAGUACGGACCAUCAUGAGUACUUUUCAGUGGAGAACUAUGACUUCAAAAGCACUAUGUUGAAGAGGUAUUGAUUUUGGAAAACUAUUAAAUGUAUGAUGAUGGAGCCAUCACACCUGUGAGAAGCGGUGAAUGUGCUCAACAGAAAUUGCAUGUCUAGAAGGAAGAGCACAGCUGGAGUCAGGGGAGGAGAAAGAGAAAGAGGAAGCCAUGGUACCAGUCACGAUGCUGUUGCCUUCCCUCUGCCGGACCACAGUGCCUGUUAGGAGGCUCGGGCUGCACAUCCUAUCAAUGCCUACCCUUAAGGCUUAGACCCCUGCCUUCUGGGCCCAUCCCCAUUAAGAGCAUUUUGUUUGCAGAAGGAUAACUUUCAGAUUUUUCCUUUUCUUUUUGGAAGUGACAAUUUCCCAAUUUAUCACUCCAGUUUUAACAGUUUUGCCUCUACCCAUAAUUGCGCGGAGACAUUUUAGAGAUUUAAUUCAUUUUGCAAUACUAAAUAGUUCCCCUUUAAUCAUUCAUGUCAGACACUAUUCACAUUUCUUAAAAAUUUAUAAGAUGAUUCUGAUCUGUCAGAAAAAAAGCCUCUUUAAAAUUCAGAUUAACUUGCUGCUUGUUCUCCAUGUUAAUGUGUUUUCCAUCAGUCACUGCUGUCACAAAACUAUUUGUACAAGGCUUAAUAUGCAGAAAGUCGUUUUAUAGUUUUACAUGUGGGAAAUGUUUUUCUACACUCCCCCAAUCUUAAAAAUGCUGUCUGUCAACCUCUUCUAUUUGUUAUGCUAUCCUUUAUCUUUGAUCCUCCUUAGUCUCUUUCUUCUUAAGAGGCUGCUGACCACUGCUGUGGGAAAUGAGGCAGCAGUAUAUCCAGUGGUUAAGAGCAUGACUUUGGAAUCAGACCUGGUCUGUGCCUCAGUGUGACCUCUUCCUAGCUAUGUGACCUUGAGCAAGUCAAAAUCAUCUGAGCUUCAGUUUCCCCAACUACUAAAUGGAGCAACAGUACUUACCCCUGAGGCAACAUCAAGGUGAAGCCCCUAGGAUGGCUGAUACUAACUGCUUUUUAAGUUCUAGCUACACACACAUACACAUGCACACACACAUACACACAGAGAAUAUAUGUCAUUGACAUAGUGGCAAAACUACUGUUUGUCCAUUAUUUUCAGGGAAGAAUGAGUUAAGAGCCAUUUCUAUUACUCCCAGGUACAACUGAAAUAAAAGCUUAAAAGAAGAUGGAGAUUGGAGAUGGAAGUUUAUCUUCAUCUAUGGAACUGGAAAUACACUAGCUUUGUAGAAAUUAUGGGUAUUGAAUAAAAAUUUAUCAAGACAA
rnacentral:lncRNA from 1 species